AUUGAACGCUGGCGGCAUGCUUUACACAUGCAAGUCGAACGGUAACAGGCCGCAAGGUGCUGACGAGUGGCGAACGGGUGAGUAAUGCAUCGGAACGUGCCCAGACGUGGGGGAUAACUACUCGAAAGAGUAGCUAAUACCGCAUACGAUCUAUGGAUGAAAGCGGGGGACCGUAAGGCCUCGCGCGAUUGGAGCGGCCGAUGUCAGAUUAGGUAGUUGGUGGGGGAAAGGCUCACCAAGCCAACGAUCUGUAGCUGGUCUGAGAGGACGACCAGCCACACUGGAGCUGAGACACGGCCCAGACUCCUACGGGAGGCAGCAGUGGGGAAUUUUGGACAAUGGGCGCAAGCCUGAUCCAGCAAUGCCGCGUGCAGGAAGAAGGCCUUCGGGUUGUAAACUGCUUUUGUACGGAACGAAACGGCUCUGGUUAAUACCCGGGGCUAAUGACGGUACCGUAAGAAUAAGCACCGGCUAACUACGUG
rnacentral:rRNA from 1 species